CCUACGGGAGGCAGCAGUGGGGAAUAUUGGGCAAUGGACGCAAGUCUGACCCAGCAACGCCGCGUGAAGGAAGAAGGCUUUCGGGUUGUAAACUUCUUUUAAGGGGGAAGAGCAGAAGACGGUACCCCUUGAAUAAGCCACGGGUAACUACGUGCCAGCAGCCGCGGUAAUACGUGGGUGGCAAGGGUUGUCCGGAUUUACUGGGGGAAAAGGGCGUGCAGCCGGAGAGCAAAGUCAGAUGUGAAAUCCACGGGCUCAACCCGUGAACUGCUUUGAAAACGGUUUCCCUUGGGUGUCGGAGGGGUAGUCGAAAUUCCUGGUGUGGCGGUAAAAUGGG
rnacentral:rRNA from 1 species